rnacentral:rRNA from 1 species
AGCCAGACUCCUACGGGAGGCAGCAGUGGGGAAUAUUGCACAAUGGGGGAAACCCUGAUGCAGCGACGCCGCGUGAGUGAAGAAGUAUUUCGGUAUGUAAAGCUCUAUCAGCAGGGAAGAAAAUGACGGUACCUGACUAAGAAGCCCCGGCUAACUACGUGCCAGCAGCCGCGGUAAUACGUAGGGGGCAAGCGUUAUCCGGAUUUACUGGGUGUAAAGGGAGCGUAGACGGCAUGGCAAGUCAGAUGUGAAAGCCCGGGGCUCAACCCCGGGACUGCAUUUGAAACUGUCAGGCUGGAGUGCAGGAGAGGUAAGUGGAAUUCCUAGUGUAGCGGUGAAAUGCGUAGAUAUUAGGAGGAACACCAGUGGCGAAGGCGGCUUACUGGACUGUAACUGACGUUGAGGCUCGAAAGCGUGGGGAGCAAACAGGAUUAGAUACCCCGGUAAU